rnacentral:snoRNA from 1 species
GGCACUUGUGUGUUUUUGUUUUAACACACAAAUUACAAACUUAAUGAACUAAAACUUAGUAGGACUAAAAACUUAAUGAACAAUGUAAAAUAAAACCUCUUUUGCAACCCGGAACUCAUUGUUCAGCUUGAGUUUUGAUACAUAUAAGAAGAAAUAUU